AAUAUUGCACAAUGGGUGAAAGCCUGAUCCAGCCAUGCCGCGCGUGUGAAGAAGGUCUUCGGUUUGUAAAGCACUUUAAUUUGGGAGGAAGGGCAGUAAGUUAAUACCUUGCUGUUUUGACGUUACCGCAAGAAUAAGCACCGGCUAACUUCGUGCCAGCAGCCGCGGUAAUACGUAGGGUGCAAUCGUUAAUCGGAAUUACUGAGCGUAAAGCGCGCGUAGGUAGUUUGAUAAGUUGGAAGUGAAAGCCCCGGGCUUAACCUGGGAAUUGCUUUCAAAACUGACGGGCUAGAGUACGGUAGAGGGUAGUGGAAUUUCCUGUGUGGCGGUGAAAUGCGUAGAUAUAGGAAGGAACAUCAGUGGCGAAGGCGACUACCUGGACUGAUACUGACACUGAGGUGCGAAAGCGUGGGGAGCAAACAGG
rnacentral:rRNA from 1 species